rnacentral:snoRNA from 1 species
UGUAGUAAAUGAUGAACACAAUAUAAUGGGAAUCUCUCUGAAAUCUAUGAUAGAUUUAUAGUUCUGAUACUACC